rnacentral:pre_miRNA from 1 species
UUUCUACUCCCUCCGUCCAACAAAGGAUGUCUCAACUUUGACCAAAUUUGAAUGCAUCUAUACACUAAGUCAUGUCUAGAUACAUCCAAAUUUUGACAAACUUGAGACAUCUUUUGUUGGACGGAGGGAGUAAUAA